CAAUAGCGUAUAUUAAAGUUGUUGCGGUUAAAAAGCUCGUAGUUGGAUUUCUGCUGAGAACGACCGGUCCGCCCUCUGGGUGUGUAUCUGGCUCUUUCUUGGCAUCUUCUUGGUGAACGUUGCUGCACUUGACUGUGUGGAGCGCUACCCAGGACUUUUACUUUGAGGAAAUUAGAGUGUUUCAAGCAGGCAUACGCCUUGAAUACAUUAGCAUGGAAUAAUAAGAUAGGACCUCGGUUCUAUUUUGUUGGUUUCUAGAGCUGAGGUAAUGAUUAAUAGGGAUAGUUGGGGGCAUUCGUAUUUAACUGUCAGAAGUGAAAUUCUUGGAUUUGUUAAAGACGGACUACUGCGAAAGCAUUUGCCAAGGAUGUUUUCAUUGA
rnacentral:rRNA from 1 species